GGUUAAGCGACUAAGCGUACACGGUGGAUGCCCUGGCAGUCAGAGGCGAUGAAGGACGUGCUAAUCUGCGAUAAGCGUCGGUAAGGUGAUAUGAACCGUUAUAACCGGCGAUUUCCGAAUGGGGAAACCCAGUGUGAUUCGUCACACUAUCAUUAACUGAAUCCAUAGGUUAAUGAGGCGAACCGGGGGAACUGAAACAUCUAAGUACCCCGAGGAAAAGAAAUCAACCGAGAUUCCCCCAGUAGCGGCGAGCGAACGGGGAGGAGCCCAGAGCCUGAAUCAGUGUGUGUGUUAGUGGAAGCGUCUGGAAAGGCGCGCGAUACAGGGUGACAGCCCCGUACACAAAAAUGCACAUGCUGUGAGCUCGAUGAGUAGGGCGGGACACGUGGUAUCCUGUCUGAAUAUGGGGGGACCAUCCUCCAAGGCUAAAUACUCCUGACUGACCGAUAGUGAACCAGUACCGUGAGGGAAAGGCGAAAAGAACCCCGGCGAGGGGAGUGAAAAAGAACCUGAAACCGUGUACGUACAAGCAGUGGGAGCCUCUUUAUGGGGUGACUGCGUACCUUUUGUAUAAUGGGUCAGCGACUUAUAUUCUGUAGCAAGGUUAACCGAAUAGGGGAGCCGAAGGGAAACCGAGUCUUAACUGGGCGUUAAGUUGCAGGGUAUAGACCCGAAACCCGGUGAUCUAGCCAUGGGCAGGUUGAAGGUUGGGUAACACUAACUGGAGGACCGAACCGACUAAUGUUGAAAAAUUAGCGGAUGACUUGUGGCUGGGGGUGAAAGGCCAAUCAAACCGGGAGAUAGCUGGUUCUCCCCGAAAGCUAUUUAGGUAGCGCCUCGUGAAUUCAUCUCCGGGGGUAGAGCACUGUUUCGGCAAGGGGGUCAUCCCGACUUACCAACCCGAUGCAAACUGCGAAUACCGGAGAAUGUUAUCACGGGAGACACACGGCGGGUGCUAACGUCCGUCGUGAAGAGGGAAACAACCCAGACCGCCAGCUAAGGUCCCAAAGUCAUGGUUAAGUGGGAAACGAUGUGGGAAGGCCCAGACAGCCAGGAUGUUGGCUUAGAAGCAGCCAUCAUUUAAAGAAAGCGUAAUAGCUCACUGGUCGAGUCGGCCUGCGCGGAAGAUGUAACGGGGCUAAACCAUGCACCGAAGCUGCGGCAGCGACGCUUAUGCGUUGUUGGGUAGGGGAGCGUUCUGUAAGCCUGUGAAGGUGUGCUGUGAGGCAUGCUGGAGGUAUCAGAAGUGCGAAUGCUGACAUAAGUAACGAUAAAGCGGGUGAAAAGCCCGCUCGCCGGAAGACCAAGGGUUCCUGUCCAACGUUAAUCGGGGCAGGGUGAGUCGACCCCUAAGGCGAGGCCGAAAGGCGUAGUCGAUGGGAAACAGGUUAAUAUUCCUGUACUUGGUGUUACUGCGAAGGGGGGACGGAGAAGGCUAUGUUGGCCGGGCGACGGUUGUCCCGGUUUAAGCGUGUAGGCUGGUUUUCCAGGCAAAUCCGGAAAAUCAAGGCUGAGGCGUGAUGACGAGGCACUACGGUGCUGAAGCAACAAAUGCCCUGCUUCCAGGAAAAGCCUCUAAGCAUCAGGUAACAUCAAAUCGUACCCCAAACCGACACAGGUGGUCAGGUAGAGAAUACCAAGGCGCUUGAGAGAACUCGGGUGAAGGAACUAGGCAAAAUGGUGCCGUAACUUCGGGAGAAGGCACGCUGAUAUGUAGGUGAAGCGACUUGCUCGUGGAGCUGAAAUCAGUCGAAGAUACCAGCUGGCUGCAACUGUUUAUUAAAAACACAGCACUGUGCAAACACGAAAGUGGACGUAUACGGUGUGACGCCUGCCCG
rnacentral:rRNA from 1 species